GACGAACGCUGGCGGCGUGCCUAAUACAUGCAAGUAGAACGCUGAAGAGAGGAGCUUGCUCUUCUUGGAUGAGUUGCGAACGGGUGAGUAACGCGUAGGUAACCUGCCUUGUAGCGGGGGAUAACUAUUGGAAACGAUAGCUAAUACCGCAUAACAAUGGAUGACACAUGUCAUUUAUUUGAAAGGGGCAAUUGCUCCACUACAAGAUGGACCUGCGUUGUAUAGCUAGUAGGUGAGGUAAUGGCUCACCUAGGCGACGAUACAUAGCCGACCUGAGAGGGUGAUCGGCCACACUGGGACUGAGACACGGCCCAGACUCCUACGGGAGGCAGCAGUAGGGAAUCUUCGGCAAUGGGGGCAACCCUGACCGAGCAACGCCGCGUGAGUGAAGAAGGUGUUCGGAUCGUAAAGCUCUGUUGUAAGUCAAGAACGGGUGUGAGAGUGGAAAGUUCACACUGUGACGGUAGCUUACCAGAAAGGGACGGCUAACUACGUGC
rnacentral:rRNA from 1 species